UAAGGAAUAUUGGUCAAUGGAGGCAACUCUGAACCAGCCAUGCCGCGUGCAGGAAGAAGGCCCUAUGGGUCGUAAACUGCUUUUGAACAAGAGAAAACCCCGGUACGUGUACUGGGUUGAUAGUAUUGUUAGAAUAAGCAUCGGCUAACUUCGUGCCAGCAGCCGCGGUAAGACGAAGGAUGCAAGCGUUAUCCGGAUUCAUUGGGUUUAAAGGGUGCGUAGGCGGACUGAUAAGUCAGUGGUGAAAUCUCUCGGCUUAACCGAGAAACUGCCAUUGAUACUGUUAGUCUAGAGUACAGAUGAUGUGGGCGGAAUAUGACAUGUAGUGGUGAAAUACUUAGAUAUGUCAUAGAACACCGAUUGCGAAGGCAGCUCACAAAACUGUAACUGACGCUGAGGCACGAAAGUGCGGGGAUCAAACAGGAUUAGAUACCCGCGUAGUCCCUGAGCGGGCUGGCAAGGCGCAU
rnacentral:rRNA from 1 species